GAUGAACGCUGGCGGCGUGCCUAAUACAUGCAAGUCGAGCGAACGGACGAGAAGCUUGCUUUUCUGACGUUAGCGGCGGACGGGUGAGUAACACGUGGAUAACCUACCUAUAAGACUGGGAUAACUUCGGGAAACCGGAGCUAAUACCGGAUAAUAUUUUGAACCGCAUGGUUCAAAAGUGAAAGACGGUCUUGCUGUCACUUAUAGAUGGAUCCGCGCUGCGUUAGCUAGUUGGUAAGGUAACGGCUUACCAAGGCAACGAUGCAUAGCCGACCUGAGAGGGUGAUCGGCCACACUGGAACUGAGACACGGUCCAGACUCCUACGGGAGGCAGCAGUAGGGAAUCUUCCGCAAUGGGCGAAAGCCUGACGGAGCAACGCCGCGUGAGUGAUGAAGGUCUUCGGAUCGUAAAACUCUGUUAUUAGGGAAGAACAUAUGUGUAAGUAACUGUGCACAUCUUGACGGUACCUAAUCAGAAAGCCACGGCUAACUACGUG
rnacentral:rRNA from 1 species